AUUAGUUAAGGUCUUUAAACCCAAAGAAUUUGGCGGUACCUUAUUCCAUUCAGAGGAACCUACCCUAUAAUUGAUAGUACACGAUUAGCUUUACUUAAUUUAUUUGUUUGUAUAUCUCCGUUAAUCAGAAGAUCUUUUUAGAGUUAUAAUUUUCUUGAAUUAUAAUUAUAAUUUAUUUCAGGUCAAGGUGCAGCUUAUAAUUAAGAAGAGGUGGGUUACAAUAGAUUAUUGUUUAUAAUGGAUUUAAUUUUUAAAAUUUUAAUGAAGGUGGAUUUGAUAGUAAUUUAAUUUAUUUAAUUUAAUUGAUAUUGGCUCUGAGGUGUGUACACAU
rnacentral:rRNA from 1 species